UGACGGGGCGUUUUGCGCGAUUCGAUUAUCUUUUUUUUUCAGUUUGGCAAAGAACGGGACAUGGGAACAUGCGCCAAUGCCAUACGGAGUGCAUAUAUAGUACAGAAAACAAUUAUCGGCACUGCCUCUGCGCACCUUCCAGCACAACAGGGAGAGCACUGAUGUUUGGAGGUAUUUUCCCGCCAUUUCCUACGCACGAAGAGCACAGAACGGUCCGGAACGCCUUCCGAAAAUUCUUAUUCUAAAGAUGGUGGCUGUGCCGUCAACCUCUGUUGCCGGUCACGUACUUGCUGCUACUGCUACAAUUUCUACAAUUACCUUUCCUGGGCUAACAAGACUAGAAGUAGCAAAUGAAACAUGAGGUGGACAGGAAGGAGGACCUCCGAAAUUUGGGCUCAGAAAACUGCUCUACCUCUUUUCUAUUUUCAGUGAAAAAAAAGAAAAGAAAAGAGAGAGAGGGAUACUCCUUUUGAGGUCAAAUAACCACGCAUAGUGAGUGAUGCCCUUAAUUCUGCAGGUGGACUGGUACAGGAAGGACUUCCGCAAUGUAGCCUCUGAAAGCAACAAUCUUCUCUGAAGUGUCACUCAAAAAAUAAAAUGCUCCUAUUAAGAUGUAAUUA